ACCGUGUGUUCUGAUGUUGAAAUUUUAACACCGACCAGCUUUGUGAACUGUGGCCUAUUGUUUCAUAAAUUCAGGAGACUCAAAUGUUGGCCACAGUUACUUGCAGCAGGUAUUUUUUAUGUCUCCAGAAGAAGAAGAAAACAUAUUCCAGUUGACUGGAUAUGAGCAAGCAAAGUGAGAAGGCAAGUGGCUGUGUUAGCAUGGCGCUAAGCUCAAGGACUAGUCUUCCGGUCUUGAUUUCAACUUUGGAAGAUUUUGCAUUAGAAGCUUUAAGAAUUGCAUUCAACUUUCAUUUGCCUUCAG